rnacentral:lncRNA from 1 species
UUCGAGUUAUUUUAGAAAAGUAAUUCGUAUCUUUUUCUAUUCAUCUAUAUAAAAAUGAUAGUGGUAAACGUUUGGUUCAAAAUUAUGUCAAAACUAUAAUAAAUGGAAGUCAUAAAUGAUCUAAGCAUGGGUUGAUUUGUUCAAAUAUACCUUUCAUAUAAAUGAAUAGUCAGAAUGAGAAAAAUGUAAGAGCUUUACAAGUCGCCAAAGGAUUGAUUUGUUAAGAACAUUGUCUAACAAGGUUGGCUUGGCCAAUCGGAAAGAAGAAACUAAGUCCUUAAAAUAAUUGAUAUAUGAAUUAUGAACCAAUGAAAAUAACUAUCGUUGCUUUCACAGAGUCUAAUAUUGAGGCAAAGUCUUGACUGCGCACAAUAUUAAUUGCCCUCCGAAUAAUGCUUUCUUGCGUGGAUCCUUCACUGCAUUUAUAAAUAAAGACUACAGAGGGACCCUUUAAAAGAUCCCAAAGUCAAAUUUAUAUCAUUGUUCUUUGGUGGCUUUGAAUUCUAUUCUAUAUUAUACGCAUCAACUUGUAAUCAGAAAUUCAACAAUAGAAGCCUUAGAAACAAGAUUUCUUUUGGCUUUGGACAAAACUUAGUGUAGUUCCUAAGAAAAUCUGCAGAAGUUAAAAAAAAAUAGUGGUUUAUCAGUUUGGCUUAACCAAAAUUCUGUAUAGAAUUAAAGAUGACAUUGCAAAGCAAUGUCUUGAGGGAGCAAAGGACAAGCAUGAUUAGCUAAGACCCACAUGGCAAAUUUGGUUAUCCGAGUCAUGCAUCCUGAAACUUGUCCCAAUCUUUAAAAACAAAAACAAACCUCGUACAUAUAUAUUGUAUUUUGUAAGAAAAGUUUCACCAAAAACUAAGCCUGACAUUUGUGUAUAUUAUAAGACAAUCCGGAAAGGGGAAUCCAACCACUGAAAAUAUCAGAUAUAAUCACAUGAAAUUUAUAGCAUUUGAGUUACAGAUGGCACAUGCAAAUUUAAGACUUCAAGAUGUGAAAAAGUUUCAAAGAUGUUUGAUAGAUACACUGUCAAAUUCCCCACCUGAAUUAGCUUAUAAUCUCACAAAAAAAGCAACACUCCGGUUCGGUCCAAUCAUAAUCUUCAAAUGAGAUCUUGCUAUAAAAUCAACUUUGAUUGGAUUCUGAUGUCAUUUUAAUGAGAAAAAAAACAUAAAGAGGAAUAAAUGGCAAUGGGGAUGAGAUGUUAGAAAUUAGAAUAUGUGCAUUAAUUGGAUUCCGUACUUUACAGCUUGCGAAUGACGACAGGUACCUUGCACAGUGUAUGAAGAACUAAAGAACAGCUUUGAGAAGGAAGAAAGUUGAAGAGCUUCCAGAGUACAUAAAGCAGCCUCACAUAGCUUUAUCACAAAAGAAUGGAAGAUAUCAAGGGAAACAACCCGGUGGUAAACACCCUUCUGAAGAGUGUUAUACAUCAGCCUGUCAAACAUGAGCCAUAGGCCUUCCAAUGAAUUCACGCGAGCCACUGAACAUGAGCAUUCAUUCCUUGAUGAGCUUGCUACAAUUCAGGAACCUUCUCCCAUGCUGAAAAAGGAAACCUGCGAUUCUUCUUAUUUGUCAUUCCAUUUCUAAGUAAAGGACACACAAAAUGAUCAGCAACAUUGAAUCUGUGAACACGAUCAGAGUAACAAAAGUAUUCAAAUAGAAACGUCAAGGUUAAGGGAUUAUCUAGCAGGAAAGGACCAUCUUGAUUCCAAUGGCUGGAUGCUAAGAGCAAAUGACUGGCAGGGAGAGCCGAGUAACAUAAGGAAAUGCUAGUACAGAAAUAACAAAU